AACGAACGCUGGCGGCAGGCUUAACACAUGCAAGUCGAGCGCCCCGCAAGGGGAGCGGCAGACGGGUGAGUAACGCGUGGGAAUCUACCCAUCUCUACGGAAUAACGCAUGGAAACGUGUGCUAAUACCGUAUACGUCCUUCGGGAGAAAGAUUUAUCGGAGAUGGAUGAGCCCGCGUUGGAUUAGCUAGUUGGUGGGGUAAAGGACUACCAAGGCGACGAUCCAUAGCUGGUCUGAGAGGAUGAUCAGCCACACUGGGACUGAGACACGGCCCAGACUCCUACGGGAGGCAGCCUUGGGGAAUAUUUGACAAUGGGCGCAAGCCUGAUCCAGCCAUGCCGCGUGAGUGAUGAAGGCCCUAGGGUUGUAAAGCUCUUUCACCGGUGAAGAUAAUGACGGUAACCGGAGAAGAAGCCCCGGCUAACUUCGUGCCAGCCGCCGCCGUAAAAC
rnacentral:rRNA from 1 species